AUUGAACGCUGGCGGCAUGCCUUACACAUGCAAGUCGAACGGCAGCACGGGAGCAAUCCUGGUGGCGAGUGGCGAACGGGUGAGUAAUAUAUCGGAACGUGCCCAGUCGUGGGGAUAACGUAGCGAAAGCUACGCUAAUACCGCAUACGAUCUAUGGAUGAAAGCGGGGGAUCGCAAGGACCUCGCGCGAUUGGAGCGGCCGAUAUCAGAUUAGGUAGUUGGUGAGGUAAAGGCUCACCAAGCCGACGAUCUGUAGCUGGUCUGAGAGGACGACCAGCCACACUGGGACUGAGACACGGCCCAGACUCCUACGGGAGGCAGCAGUGGGAAUUUUGGACAAUGGG
rnacentral:rRNA from 1 species